CUCAAGCUGGGGUGCUGCAUUCGUUUGUGUGAAUUUAACAUUUGUUUGGCUUUAAGACGUUCUGUUCACAAAGGAACACUUGGGGGGCAGCCCCUAAAUGUUUGCAGUGCUGUUCGUCUGGGUUUCCGUGCAUUUGUGUGCAUGUGUGUCUCUCUGCCCAUCUGUUCUUCUGUGUCUUGUAUGUUUGUGUGUGUGUGUGUGUGUGUGUGUGUGUGUGUGUGUGUGUGUGUGUGUGUGUGUGUGUGUGUGUGUGUGUGUGUGUGUGUGUGUGUGUGUGUGUUUGUGUCUGUGGGUUAAGCAGUGUGUGAGAGGCAAACCAGCUCAGCAGGUAUUAUCAAUGGACCAGAUUAACAGUGAAAACUCUAAUCCCAUGUUCAGCUUUACACUUCAGCUGUCUGUGCGAAUGAGUGUAAUUUUUCACUUGUUCUAUUGUAGGCGAUAUAUUAUCCCCUUACAUAUCUAUAUUAUAUAUAGAUAUGUAGAACAGUAUCGCAAUAUGAUAUUGGUGGGCGUGGAGAUAACAUUUUCUUUAAUCUCAGAAUAUCUUUCUGUCUGUUGGUCUGUCUGUAUUUAUUGUUGAUGCAGUAGUUAAUUCAUGAAUGGAACUAAUCACAGUUUCAGUGUGCUGAACUGCUGACUGUUAAACCAAGUGUUCCUCUGACACAACGGCUCAGAACGGGUUGCUCUUUGCACAGCAGUCCAGCCCAGUUUAUUUUUAACUCCUAAAUCUUCUUAGCCCUUCAUUUGCAUAUGUGUGUGUGUGUGUGUGUGUGUGUGUUUGUGUUUGUGUUGUGUGUGUGUGUGUGUGUGUGUAUGUGUUUGUGAGUGUCUGUAAGUGCACGUGCAAAUGUUUUUGUCAAACUUGUUUGGAUGCCAAUGUGUUACUUGUAUGCAUGCUUUAUCCUAUCAGAAUGAUUUCUGUUUGUGUGGUGUGUCUGUGUGUGUUGGUAUGUGGUGUGCGUGCACAUCUGGGUCCUGCUCGGCUUAGCUUUCCCCGCAAGGACACCAACUCCCUGCUCCAGGUGGCUGAUGGGAAAUCCACCUGUUAGGCUUGUUUGGUUGCCGUGGUGAUUCUGUCAGAGGUGGACUUUAGGUGCUCUAGCGGCUAGCCCAUGCUGUAUCGGAAUGCGAGCUCCGCUAAUCAAGGGGCUCACCCUAAGGAGGGAGUGACCCUUACCCACCACCUUCCACUGAGGAGCUCCACCGGUAGGAACCAGGCCGACCAGGCCAAACCAGAGCUCUGCAAACCGUCAUGAUAUGAAGGUUAGGACCACCGAUCUGCAUCCCUGAGAAGUCAGCUAGUUAAAGGGCCACAAGCUGCUUGAGUUGUAAGAUAGGUAAAUAGCUUCAAGCUAGCAAAAUAACAACAAGAAACAUCAAUAGUAGCUAUUAAAUACUUACUAGACAAUACAACGCCAAAAAGCAACAAGUUAGCUAAAUAGCCUCAAGAUAGCUAAAUGUACAAAAAUACUAGGUCUAAUAUAAUUAGCAGCUAUAAGGAUACUUA